rnacentral:rRNA from 1 species
GACGAACGCUGGCGGCGUGCUUAACACAUGCAAGUCGAACGGAAAGGCUCCAGCUUGCUGGCGUACUCGAGUGGCGAACGGGUGAGUAACACGUGGGUGAUCUGCCCUGCACUUCGGGAUAAGCCUGGGAAACUGGGUCUAAUACCGGAUAGGACCGCACUUUGGUGUGUGUGGUGGAAAGGUUUUUCUGGUGUGGGAUGAGCUCGCGGCCUAUCAGUUUGUUGGUGGGGUAAUGGCCUACCAAGACGGCGACGGGUAGCCGGCCUGAGAGGGUGGACGGUCACAUUGGGGCUGAGAGGCGGCCCAGACCCCUACGGGAGGCAGCAGUGGGGAAGAUUGCACCAUGGGGGAAACCCUGAUGCAGCGACGCCGCGUGGGGGAGGAAGGCCUUCGGGUUGUAAGCUCCUUUCGCUAGGGACGAAGCUUUUUGUGACGGUACCUGGAGAAGAAGCACCGGCUAACUACGUG